AACGAACGCUGGCGGCAGGCUUAACACAUGCAAGUCGAGCGAGGACUUCGGUCCUAGCGGCGGACGGGUGAGUAACGCGUGGGAACGUGCCCUUUCCUCCGGAAUAGCCCAGGGAAACUUGGAUUAAUGCCGGAUACGCCCUUUUGGGGAGAGAUUUAUCGGGGAAGGAUCGGCCCGCGUUGGAUUAGGUAGUUGGUGGGGUAAUGGCCUACCAAGCCGACGAUCCAUAGCUGGUUUGAGAGGAUGAUCAGCCACACUGGGACUGAGACACGGCCCAGACUCCUACGGGAGGCAGCAGUGGGGAAUCUUGGACAAUGGGGGCAACCCUGAUCCAGCCAUGCCGCGUGGUCGAUGAAGGCCUUAGGGUUGUAAAGAUCUUUCAGCUGGGAAGAUAAUGACGGUACCAGCAGAAGAAGCCCCGGCUAACUCCGUGCCAGCAGCCGCCGUAA
rnacentral:rRNA from 1 species